CUGCGUAAGAUGCACCCUGCUGUAAAUAUGGACAAAUAGUAAUGUUGAUGGAAUUUAGAUGAGCAUCAUGGGAGUCGUAGGUGCUCAUAAAGGACCAUCAUAGAUAC
rfam:Triticum aestivum genome assembly, contig: Triticum_aestivum_CS42_TGACv1_scaffold_178583_2DS